rnacentral:rRNA from 1 species
ACGAACGCUGGCGGCGUGCUUAACACAUGCAAGUCGAGCGGUAAGGCCCUUUCGGGGGUACGACGAGCGGCGAACGGGUGGGUAACACGUGGGUGACCUGCCCUCAGCUCUGGGAUAAGCCUGGGAAACUGGGUCUAAUACCGGAUAUGACUCCAUGACGCAUGUUGUGGGGUGGAAAGCCUUGUGCGGCUGAGGAUGGGCCCGCGGCCUAUCAGCUUGUUGGUGGGGUGAUGGCCUACCAAGGCGACGACGGGUAGCCGGCCUGAGAGGGCGACCGGCCACACUGGGACUGAGACACGGCCCAGACUCCUACGGGAGGCAGCAGUGGGGAAUCUUGCGCAAUGGGCGAAAGCCUGACGCAGCGACGCCGCGUGAGGGAUGACGGCCU